rnacentral:rRNA from 1 species
CAGUCGCCGCGGUAAAACGUAGGUGGCAAGCGUUGUCCGGAAUUAUUGGGCGUAAAGGGCUCGCAGGCGGUUUCUUAAGUCUGAUGUGAAAGCCCCCGGCUCAACCGGGGAGGGUCAUUGGAAACUGGGAAACUUGAGUGCAGAAGAGGAGAGUGGAAUUCCACGUGUAGCGGUGAAAUGCGUAGAGAUGUGGAGGAACACCAGUGGCGAAGGCGACUCUCUGGUCUGUAACUGACGCUGAGGAGCGAAAGCGUGGGGAGCGAACAGGAUCAGAUACCCCCGUAGUCCCUGUCUCUUAUAC